GGGCGUAUAGCUCAGAUGGUUAGAGCGCGAUCCUGAUAAGAUCGAGGUCGGUGGUUCGAGUCCACCUACGCCCACCA
rnacentral:tRNA from 1 species